rnacentral:sRNA from 1 species
GUAGAUGCUCAUUCCAUCUCUUAUGUUCGCCGUUUGGCCUCAUAAACCCAGGAAUGAUGCAGAGCCGUUUACGGUGCUUAUCGUCCACCUGCCAGAUGUCGCUUCGGCCUCAUCAAACAUCAUGGACAUAACGUUGAGUGAAGCACCCAUUUAUGUUGUCAAACAGACCUGUUUUAACGCCUGCUCUGGAUUCAGAGCAGGCGUUUUUUU